GGCUCCAGAGUGAGACCAGUGUGGGCCAGGGCCAUGGGGAGGUCGGAGCUGACGUCUGUCCUAGGUGGCCCCACACACAUGGUGUGACCCGAGCCCAGGGCCAUCCUCACUCCUCACGCCUGGACUUGAGAUGCCUGGAGGGCAGCGGCUGUGUGCCGAGUGGGGCUUCCCAGCCCCUGCCCUCCUUCGGCCUCUUCCUCCUGUGUGUGCCAGAGCCUUGUUAGCAGGAGGUCGGGCCACCAUCAAAGGACAGCAGUGAGCGCACUUCUCACAGCUUGCCACGGCAUAUCCCCAGGAAGUCUGAGAAAACUGGAAUGUGCGAUUGUAUCUGCUUCUGUCUACACUGAUGACUACGGAGACGAGCCCCUGGUCAGAGUGCUGAGAGUAAGGGACAGAGUGCGCUUAGCCCUAAACUGGACACCCAGGCUCCCCUCUCCGAAGCUCAGGGAACCCUGGAGAACAGGGGACGGAUGGAGCGUGAGGAGGCUGCGAGGGGAACUGUGACACACUGUCCCGUAGACAUGACCUGGCUGCCACCGCCCUCGCAAGCUCACAGACUGAAAAGAUUUUUAAUUUAAGAGGCGUGGCCAUCCUACUGACUGCCAUGCUAACGCAGUGUCUGGGGCAACGGCUACGGCUGGGUCACGGCGAUGAGGGCCACUGCUGCAGGGUGACCAUCUGGCUCCUGAGGGUCUUCACCUCGCUGGACAGCACCUUGUUGCGAGACCGAAUGCCCUCAAACUUCCUUCUCAGCUCCUCCAGCUCUGUCUGGAGGGUGUCCCGCUCACUGACCCCGAUGUAGAGCUGUCGGCGCCUGCAGCACCGCGUCUGUCUGUGCACCGCCAUGCUUCCCGCCAUGGUGACAACGGACUGGACCUCUGAGCUGUAAGCCAGCCCCAGCUGAAGGCUUUCCUUUGUAAGAGUUGCCGCCGUGGUCACAGUGUCUCUGCACGGCCACAGCGACCCUGACUAAGACAGCCUCCCACACCUUCUGUGCUGCCUCCCUUCCCCAAACCACGCUCCACGUCUGAGGGUCAGAGGACCGUGUCUCUUCACAAAUUUAAGUGCCUUGGUGCUUAUGGUGGCGGCAUACAAGGUUCAACAGGACGCAACCAUGCCCAGCCCUCUAGGUGGCCCGUUUCCCUCCCCGUGCCUGACAGUGCAGAGGGCUGGGGGAGGCUAUGACGACACUUCUGACGCCCCGGCACAGGUGGAUGGACGCUCUGGGGGAGAGGGUGCGGAGGGUCUGGCUGCUGGAAGCCUCUGUCGGGUGCUGAGGCUGAGGGAGAUCCCAUUGGCAGUCAGCAGUGAGGCACAGCCUGGAACUCUGGCCACCCACUCUGUUCAGAGCUCGGUGGGGCUUCCUCCAGGCCCCGCCCUAUUCCACUCUUGGGGGAGUGAUCCAGUGUGGGGGUUCAUCACCACUGCCAAUGUGUCUGGAUUUGGAAGCACCUAGAAGACACACCUGGGGCAUGCCUGUGAGGUUGUUUCCCGGGGAGAAUGACGCACCCUGAAUGCGUGUGUGUGUGUGUGUGUGUGUGUGUGUGUGUGUGUGUGUGUCCCCAGACU